rnacentral:rRNA from 1 species
GAUGAACGCUGGCGGCGUGCCUAAUACAUGCAAGUCGAGCGAAGCGGGGACGGGUGAGUAACACGUGGAUAACCUCCCUUAAGACUGGGAUAACUUCGGGAAACCGGAGGUAAACCGGACACUUAUAGAUGGAUCUGCGCUGCAGUAGUUAGUUGGUAAGGUAACGGCUUACCAAGGCAACAAUGCAUAGCCGACCUGAGGGGAUGAUCGGCCACACUGGAACUGGGACACGGUCCAGACGCCUACGGGAGGCAGCAGUAGGGAAUCUUCCGCAAUGGGCGAAAGCCUGACGGAGCAAGGCCGCGUGAGUGAUGAAGGUCUUCGGAUCGUAAAGCUCUGUUAUUAGGGAGGCGGUACCUAAUCAGAAAGCCACGGCUAACUACGUGCCAGCAGCCGCGGUAAUAC